rnacentral:rRNA from 1 species
UAGGAAUCUUCCACAAUGGACGCAAGUCUGAUGGAGCAACGCCGCGUGAGUGAAGAAGGUUUUCGGACCGUAAAGCUCUGUUGUUGGCGAAGAAGGAUAGAGGUAGUAACUGGCCUUUAUUUGACGGUAAUCAACCAGAAAGUCACGGCUAACUACGUGCCAGCAGCCGCGGUAAUACGUAGGUGGCAAGCGUUGUCCGGAUUUAUUGGGCGUAAAGCGAGCGCAGGCGGAAGAAUAAGUCUGAUGUGAAAGCCCUCGGCUUAACCGAGGAAUUGCAUCGGAAACUGUUUUCUUGAGUGCAGAAGAGGAGAGUAGAACUCCAUGUGUAGCGGUGGAAUGCGUAGAUAUAUGGAAGAAUACCAGUGGCGAAGGCGGCUCUCUGGUCUGCAACUGACGCUGAGGCUCGAAAGCAUGGUAGCGAACAGGAUUAGAUACCCUGGUAGUCCAUGCCGUAAACGAUGAGUGCUAAGUGUUGGGAGGCUUCCGCCUCUCAGUGCUGCAGCUAA